UUAGGUUGGUGCAAAAGCGAUUGUGGUUUUUGCCAUUGAAAGUAAUGGCAAAAACAUCAAUUACUUUUGCAUCAACCUAAUAAAA
ensembl:miRNA